GUAGAAAGCAAAGCAGAUUCUCUGUUGAAGAUACGUUCACCAGAAGGAAGGAAAAAAGCCUUUUCCACCUGCGCUUCGCAUAUGAUAGCAGUCACGGUUUUCUAUGGGACAAUGCUAUUUAUGUAUUUGCAGCCCCAAACCAACCACUCACUGGAUACUGAUAAGAUGGCUUCUGUGUUUUACACAUUGGUGAUUCCUAUGCUGAAUCCCUUGAUCUACAGCCUGAGGAAUAAUGAUGUAAAGGUUGCCUUAAAGAAAUUCAUGGAAAAUCCAUGUUACUCCUUUAAAUCAAUGUAAUUUUAGAGCUCUAUAAAUAAAUGAAGAGAUAGUUCAUGUAACCUGCCAUUAUGUAAGAGAAAUAAAAGUAAGUUUACAAGCAAUCCUAAGAAUUACCAAGAGGUAAGAUUUAAAGAUCAUUGAAUUAAAAAAAAAUACGUGGAAACAUUUUGAGUUAUGAGAGUAAUACAAAACAAAAAUAUUAUUUAUUAACUUUGCCCAGAAAUAAUCAGGUAACCAGUUUGAAUAAAAUAUUUUCAGGAGUAAGGAGCAUAUCAGUUUUUAAAAGAUUAAGUUUUAACAGAGCUACAAAAUAGGAACAAGAGAAUUAAAGUGAAUAUUUUUCAUUCUGUGGACUCCUUUUCUUCUUUCUGGGUAUGAUUGGUAGAGUGGAUGCCUGCAUCUUGAAAAACUGUAACUACAGAUGACUAAAAUCAUUUUUACAACAAAGUUAGCAAAUUUGAACUGACAAUAAUAUUUAAAAUAAAGCUCUUUAACUCUUAAUAUUGUUUGAAUAUACAAUAAAGACAUACUAUCAAUUAAUACAUAUUUUAAAUCCUCAUCAUAUAAUUGAAAAUAUUUUAUUCCAAUUAAUAUAUUUUCUGCAAUUUUUAAAUAAAAUGCUCAGACUACUAUCACUGAAUAUGCUUUUAUACUGGGUUUGCUUUGUAAACAUCAGACUUUAUAAAAAUUUCCUUUUCUCCUUCCUCUAAAUAUCAUUCAUCCUUCAUAGGUAAAACAAAUGUUCUAUUUUUGUAUAUUAAUAAACUUUAAAACAACUUGUUCACGGGAGUUUCUUACAUCAUUAGAAAUAUUUUUUGAAUUUUUGUUCUUAUUUUCUGAUAGUUUUUGAUCCGUAAGUGUACACUUACACCUAUUGUACAACUUAUAAUAUAUAGGAAUAAUCAGACUAUAUCCCAGACUUAUCAAAUAAAAAUCAUAAGGCAAAAGUCAAAAAACUCAUAUUAUAAGUGCCAAUGGGGAUUCUGGCAUUGAAACUUAGGAAUAUAUCCUACAAAUAAAGAACUAGACUGGAAGAUACAUAUGGAAGAUUAUGUUGACAUUCUGUGUGUGUGUUCAGUUUACUUGUAAGUAGGUUCUAGUGUUAAAGAGUUCCUUCAGGACUAAAGGACCAAAGAAACUAAAUCUUCAGUCAUGAAUAAUUAUGAAUAAUUAUGAAAUGGUAUGAAUAAUUAUGAUAUGAUAUGAAUAAUUAUGAAUGAUAUGAAUCAUUAUAAUAUUAAAAAGGAAAUAAAACACAACUCUACAGUACAAAAUUAGACUCAAGUAACUGGAAAAGUAGUGAUUGGAUAUCUUUUAAUUUGCCUUGGUGUUGAGAUAUUCAGUCUACUUUUCACGCCAAUCUUUCUUCCACUUGGUGAAAGAAUGAAAAGGCAGGAAAAAGCUAUCUUGUUUGCAUAAGAUGAGAUUUUUGAGGUAACAUAAUCACUUUUCCACAGCCCCAAAUUCAUUACCAUUUUUACUGUGCAUUACAUUUCCAUCAUAAUUUUUUUUUAUAAAAAGUCAUCUUUGGAUUCCACUGAAUACGUUUUCUAGUUAGGCCUUCUAUUGAACAAUGGAAUAAUAUAACCACAUGUUUAAUAACAAAAUUUGUUCCACCAAACUCAGUUUUUAUAAACUAUUAACAAGGUCCUCAAAUGACGAUUUUUAGAUUUAGGAAGAAAUGCUAGAAGACCAUAAAAUUGUUUGUAGCCAAAUAUGACAAAUGAAAUAUAAUGAAUUUUACCAGAUCUAUUAUAUAUUGAUGUCAGGUUUUUAAUUAAAUUUUCAACCCUAAAUAUUAUAAUGCAAUGAAAGUUUAUCAGUUGAAAAAUCAUUGGUUUACCUAGUGCGAUAAUAAAUGAAUGGAGUACUAUUUAUGUGUAUGCAUGUAAUAAUCUGGGAAUUCCUAAUGAAGAAGAAUUAUCCUUCUUAGAAAUUAAUUUGCCAGAAAUGUUUGGGCAUCUAUACUAGCCUGGUACUGUGAAGAGUAUUCCAGAAAAUAUGACUUUAUUUUGAUGCUAAAGUAGGGAAAAAUAUUAAAACACUGAGUGCUUAAUGAUAAAGU
rnacentral:sRNA from 1 species